rnacentral:lncRNA from 1 species
AUGUGUACUAUGGAUCAGCGCCAAUUACUUGGAAAUGUGUCCUUCUCAUGUCCACAGCCACAGACUGUCCCUGUGACUUUUCUGAGCUCCAGGAGUUAUCUGGCUCUGCCAGGCAACUCUGGUGAGGACAAAGUGUCUGUCACUUUUCAAUUUCGAACGUGGAACAGAGCAGGACAUUUGCUUUUCGGUGAACUUCGACGUGGUUCAGGGAGUUUCGUCCUCUUUCUUAAGGAUGGCAAGCUCAAACUGAGUCUCUUCCAGCCGGGACAGUCACCAAGGAAUGUCACAGCAGAUGGGAGGAGCACUGGGUCCUAAAUUGACAUUGUGCCUAAAUUGGCAUCGGAACUAAAUGCGGGCUUUAAAAAAAAAAGCGUAAUCUGAAAAAGAAAAAGGCACAGACGAAGAGGCUGACUUCUGCUUGAGACCAGGGGGUUAUCAUACUCAAAAAAAGAUUCCUUUUGGCUGUAAGAGGCACACGUGACUAUACUGCUAUUAAAUGUUGUGGUAUGAA